AGGUGUCGAACCCAAGGGCUCUUCUCAGCAGAGUGUCUGCAUGCCACACUCUGCUUUAGAGUCUGUUCCCUGGGGAACACAACCAGAGACUGAAAUAAUUGGUGGGCAGUGGGGAGCACAAAGGGCUGUUUUUGUUUCAUGUGAAGACGAUGAGCAUGCUAUGAACCCCGAAGAGCUGUUGUAUAAAGUAUCUGCCUGGAAACCCUGUUGCCUGGAGACCACUCUUGAAGAACAUCCACUGCUGUGGCCUCUUAAAGAUUUAAGACAUCUAAUGAACAGCUGACAGAAAUCAUCAAUUUGCUCCUCAUUUCAGUGUCAAAUCAUGAUGCAACAGCAGAGUGAACUCAGUGUUUUUGGUAUGAAGAUCUCCAUGUGUUUCCAUCAUCAGCAUCUCCUGUGCUCUUAAUCUUACCCUGGACACCUGACCCAGGUGCCCAUUCUGUGAAUUCUUUCAUUGUAGGAAAGAGAAACAGAUGUUGACACCAUGCUCUUGGACUUCCCAGCUUCCAGAAUCAUGAGCCAAAUAAACCUCUUUUCUUUAUAAA
rnacentral:lncRNA from 1 species